UACGUAGGUGACAAGCGUUGUCCGGAUUUACUGGGCGUAAAGAGCGCGCAGGCGGUCGAUCAAGUCGAGUGUGAAAGCCCCCGGCUCAACUGGGGAGGGUCAUUCGAUACUGAUCGACUCGAAGGCAGGAGAGGGUAGUGGAAUUCCCGGUGUAGCGGUGAAAUGCGUAGAUAUCUGGAGGAACACCGGUGGCGAAGGCGGCAUCCUGGACCAGUAUUGACGCUGAUGCGCGAAAGCCAGGGGAGCAAACGGG
rnacentral:rRNA from 1 species